rnacentral:rRNA from 1 species
ACGGAGGAUCCAAGCGUUAUCCGGAUUCAUUGGGUUUAAAGGGUGCGUAGGCGGACUUAUAAGUCAGUGGUGAAAUCCUGCAGCUUAACUGCAGAACUGCCAUUGAUACUGUAAGUCUUGAGUGUGUUUGAAGUGGGCGGAAUGUGUCAUGUAGCGGUGAAAUGCUUAGAUAUGACACAGAACACCGAUUGCGUAGGCAGCUCACUAAACCACAACUGACGCUGAGGCACGACAGCGUGGGGAUCAAACAGG